UUUAUGGAUCAAAACUGUCUCUGUAGGAAUGGUGGUGUUUGCAAACCUUUCUGCAUCACAAAUCUUCUGGAAGGAAGAGUGAUCUGCUAUUCUGUUUUAAAGGCAGGAGAAAUUUGAGGCCAAAAGUGGCGACAGAUCAGGGGAGCAGCUGAGUUAGUGGUAACUGCGGGGAGAGAAGCAAUCAGGUACUGAUUAUCCCGGAAAGGGAAGGAGACAGUAUUAGCCAUGGCUUUUCAGAUGCUCUCAUUCUCCACUGAACAGGAAAAUGGAACUGCCAGUUACACUGAAGUUCCUGAAAUGAAACUACAUUCCUCAUAACAAAGAAAAAGUUGUUAAAAUCUC